GAUGAACGCUGGCGGCGUGCCUAAUACAUGCAAGUCGAGCGAACAGACGAGGCGCUUGCUCCUCUGACGUUAGCGGCGGACGGGUGAGUAACACGUGGAUAACCUACCUAUAAGACUUGGAUAACUUCGAGAAACCGGAGCUAAUACCGUAUAAUAUAUUGAACCGCAUGGUUCAAUAGUGAAAGACGGUUUUGCUUUCACUUAUAGAUUGAUCCGCGCCGCAUUAGCUAGUUGGUAAGGUAACGGCUUACCAAGGCAACGAUGCGUAGCCGACCUGAGAGGGGGGUCGGCCACACGGGAACUGAGACACGGUCCAGACUCCUACGGGAGGCAGCAGUAGGGAAUCUUCCGCAAUGGGCGAAAGCUUGACGGAGCAACGCCGCGUGAGUGAUGAAGGUCUUCGGAUCGUAAAACUCUGUUAUUAGGGAAGAACAAAUGUGUAAGUAACUAUGCACGUCUUGACGGUACCUAAUCAGAAAGCCACGGCUAACUACGUG
rnacentral:rRNA from 1 species